rnacentral:misc_RNA from 1 species
GAAAUGCGAUAAGUAGUGUGAAUUGCAGAAUUCAGUGAAUCAUCGAAUCUUUGAACGCACAUUGCGCCCUUUGGUAUUCCAAAGGGCAUGCCUGUUCGAGCAUCAUUUGUACCCUCAAGCUUUGCUUGGUGUUGGGCGUCUUGUCUCUAGCUUUGCUGGAGACUCGCCUUAAAGUAAUUGGCAGCCGGCCUACUGGUUUCGGAGCGCAGCACAAGUCGCACUCUCUAUCAGCAAAGGUCUAGCAUCCAUUAAGCCUUUUUUUCAACUUUUGACCUCGGAUCAGGUAGGGAUACCCGCUGAACUUAAGC